rnacentral:rRNA from 1 species
UACGAAGGGGGCUAGCGUUGCUCGGAAUCACUGGGCGUAAAGGGUGCGUAGGCGGGUCUUUAAGUCAGGGGUGAAAUCCUGGAGCCUCAACUCCAGAACUGCCUUUGAUACUGAAGAUCUUGAGUUCGGGAGAGGUGAGUGGAACUGCGAGUGUAGAGGUGAAAUUCGUAGAUAUUCGCAAGAACACCAGUGGCGAAGGCGGCUCACCUGGCCCCGAU